CUUGAAUAAGCAUAAGAGGUCCAGCCUGCCCAGUGACCAUGUUCAACGGCCGCGGUAUCCUAACCGUGCGAAGGUAGCGUAAUCACUUGUUCUUUAAAUAAGGACUAGUAUGAACGGCAUCACGAAGGUUACACUGUCUCCUCUUUCUAAUCAGUGAAACUAAUCUCCUCGUGAAGAAACGAGGAUAAACAUAUAAGACGAGAAGACCCUAUGGAGCUUCAAACUAUAAAGCACCUGCCCCAGUAUUACUUAAUUCCAGAAAACCACACCUACCCAGGCAAGAUGACCUUUAGUUUUAGGUUGGGGUGACCGCGGAGCAAAAAAAAACCUCCACAUUGAAAGGAGCCAACUCCUUAGCCAAGAGCCACAUCUCUAAGCACCAACAAAAAGACAUCAAUUGACCCAAUAUUUUUGAUCAACGAAC
rnacentral:rRNA from 1 species